GCUGGGCGCGGAGGUGCACACCUGUCAUCCCAGCUACUUGCGAGGCUGAGGCAGGAGGAUCCCACAUCUGAGACAGCCUGGGCAACCUAGUGAGAUCCUGUCUCAA
rnacentral:sRNA from 1 species